rnacentral:ncRNA from 18 species
AAGAUGAUAUUCUCCGCCGUGGAAUAGCUUCUGACUCUGUUGCAUUCAGGGGGAAAGCCAAGAAGAUGUAGAGUCGGCCGUAUAACUUUAUGUUUUCUUGGCUUU